rnacentral:rRNA from 1 species
CAAGGCUUGACAUACACCGGAAAGCAUUAGAGAUAGUGCCCCCCUUGUGGUCGGUGUACAGGUGGUGCAUGGCUGUCGUCAGCUCGUGUCGUGAGAUGUUGGGUUAAGUCCCGCAACGAGCGCAACCCUUGUCCCGUGUUGCCAGCAGGCCCUUGUGGUGCUGGGGACUCACGGGAGACCGCCGGGGUCAACUCGGAGGAAGGUGGGGACGACGUCAAGUCAUCAUGCCCCUUAUGUCUUGGGCUGCACACGUGCUACAAUGGCCGGUACAAUGAGCUGCGAUACCGCGAGGUGGAGCGAAUCUCAAAAAGCCGGUCUC